CUGCGCCACAAGUGGCAAUCGUUAUUAUUGGGCCUAAAGCGUCCGUAGCAGGUUUUGUAAAUCUCUUGUGAAAUUGUCAAGCUCAACUUGGCAACGUGCAAGAGACACUGCAAGACUUGGGACCGGGAGGAGUCAGAGGUAUUCCAUGGGGAGCGGUAAAAUGCUAUAAUCCAUGGAGGACCACCUAUGGCGAAGGCAUCUGACCAGAACGGAUCCGACUGUGAGGGACGAAAGCCAGGGGAGCAAACCGGAUUAGAUACCCGUGUAGUCC
rnacentral:rRNA from 1 species